AGCCAGAAGCCUUAGCUCUCAGCCAAAGCAUUGACUGGGAAAGCUGCGUGAUGUCCUCUGAUGUGCGGAGAAGGGGCUGGCUGUUGUCCCUCUCCUUUUGCUGCCCUGACUCUAGGAGCUUGAGUGCCUUUUAUCUGCCAGAAACCAGCACUGAUAUCAGAGAGUGCAAGGAACCCUGUGGCUUUUCCAAAUAGAUGCACGACGGAGAAAUGCUAAUGGCCAGGACGGCUUGUGUCGCCGCAGUCAAAGACUUAUCAUCUUGGGAAUGACUGAUUCACGUGGCUGUGUAAGGUAAAAGGAAGCAAUGCCAGGUUUCUGGGACUGAUGUUGCAAACGCUCUGGCCUGAAUGCCAACAUUUGUGCCAGUCCCACAGCUCUGCAGCAUUAAUGAAAUCGUUGGAUGAUGCUCUAUGAGUUGAAGUGGCCAAAAUGCUCUGUUGCAACCUUCAGAUUAAGUGCUGCUCAUCAAACCCCGGAGAUCCUGUGGUUUGUUGGAGAACCCUUGGGGAGCGGGAAGCAGCGUGCGGCUCCCCAGCAGCCAGAGCCUCCCACCUGGGUGCGCGGUCCUGGCUCUCCGCUCGGGACCGGCGUAGGGAGCUCGGGGGCUGCGGCAGCCCUGCCCUUGCAAUGUGCUUCAGUUACCCCAAUGAGUUUCAGAUCCAGCCACCCACUGCCCUCCUCCGCUCGCUGCUCAGGACAGCAAGAGGUGUAGCCAGCAUCCUGCCAGCUUUCCCUAAGCAAACAACACUCGGCCCGAGAGCACUGCUGAUGAAGCUUAUUAAAGAGACAAUCUCCCAGCAUCUGUUUUCCAUCUUACACCUGUUUUUCACACGCUGGCUUCAUUUUUUAAGUUUGCCUGCUUAUGAGCUUUGCCAAACAACAAAAAAAGUGUUACACUCUACUUGUACUGACAUUUUGGUCAGAAAUCCCAAAGUGUGUGAGGAAGAGAAGUAAAAGACUUGGGAAGCUGUUGCCAAGUAUGAAUACGUCACUCCAGCUUCGAACCAUGUCUGCCACUAUGCUGCCUGGAGCUGUAGCAGCUAGCAAGUUGUGUGAUUUACGUUCAUGUUGUGGCCUUCUUGUAUUUAGCAGGGUUUGAGCUGAGGCAGACAACUCAAUUGAAAAGCAUUUUUUCUGCAGCCAGGACUUGCGUGUGGGGAACCGGAACCGGUUCAGUUUGAGCAAAAGCUCACCUGGACUGUGCAGUAAGGAUAAGCCUGCUGAGCCUUUGCUGAGGCUUUCAUACAUGCUCAGUUCUAGUGGGCUCCUGCCUGGCUUUCCCUGCCUCUGGCUGCCUGCUCGGGGUGUCCAAAGCCUGGAGAUGCUCUUCUUCGUGCUGCCCAUCUCCUGUGGGCUCAUGGGGUAGAUGUGUCCCUCAUUCGUUAUCCUUGGUGCCCAUUGCUCGGUGGACCGGCUUGCUUCCUCCCCAGUUGUAACCAGCACUGUUAGGUUUUUGGCUCUAAUAAUCAUAAUUUGAAGCUCUAAUGGAUAUCCACACAGAUAACAUGCUAAUUUAUUAGUUCAGCUCAACUGGGCUGCAGGAUGAAAAAUGAUUGCGGAAGACUUUUAAUAAAAUUCAAAGGGAUUUUAUAGGUCUCAAGCCACUUUUAAAAUGCAAAAGAAAGCCAAGAGUAUUACUUUGUUAACCCACAUAAUUCUAUCCUGCCUAAUGAGGUCUGGAGCUAAUCUUCAGCGCUCUGCCCUGGGAUCAGAAUUAUUGGAGCAGGUAAACACCGCUAAGUACCACACUGCAUCUCUGAGUUUUGGUUGCAUUGUCACUGUGACUUUCUGUUCCUUCCCUUUUAUGAACUUUUCAUAAAGCUCAGAAUAGAGAUGAUUAUGUAAAAACAAAGAGCUGGCUUCCUGUAGUGACUU